UAACCUGUAGUGUAAAGGUAGCAUUCAAGACUUUGACUCUUGAGGUAUAAGUUCGAAUCUUAUCAGGUUAA
rnacentral:tRNA from 1 species